GAUGAACGCUGGCGGCGUGCCUAAUACAUGCAAGUCGAGCGAACAGACGAGGAGCUUGCUCCUUUGACGUGAGCGGCGGACGGGUGUGUAACACGUGGAUAACCUACCUAAAAGACUGGGAUAACCUCGGGAAACCGGAGCUAAUCCCGGAUAAUAUAUUGAACCGCAUGGUGCAAUAGUGAAAGACGGCUUUUCUGUCUCUACUAGCUGGAUCCCGGCCGCAUUAGCUAGUUGUUAAGGUAACGGCUUACCAAGGCAAGGAUGCGUAGCCGACCUGAGAGGGUGAUCGGCCACACUGGAACGGAGACACGGUCCAGAGUCCUACGGGAGGCAGCAGUAGGGAAUCUUCCGCAAUGGGCGAAAGCCUGACGGAGCAACGCCGCGUGAGUGAUGAAGGUGUUCGGAUCGUAAAACUCUGUUAUUAGGGAAGAACAAAUGUGUAAGUAACUAUGCACGUCUUGACGGUACCUAAUCAGAAAGCCACGGCUAACUACGUG
rnacentral:rRNA from 1 species